rnacentral:rRNA from 1 species
AACGAACGCUGGCGGCAUGCCUAACACAUGCAAGUCGAACGAGACCUUCGGGUCUAGUGGCGCACGGGUGCGUAACGCGUGGGAACCUGCCCUUAGGUUCGGAAUAACUCCCCGAAAGGGGUGCUAAUACCGGAUAAUGUCUUCGGACCAAAGAUUUAUCGCCUUUGGAUGGGCCCGCGUUGGAUUAGCUAGUUGGUAGGGUAAAAGCCUACCAAGGCGACGAUCCAUAGCUGGUCUGAGAGGAUGAUCAGCCACACUGGGACUGAGACACGGCCCAGACUCCUACGGGAGGGAGCAGUGGGGAAUAUUGGACAAUGGGCGAAAGCCUGAUCCAGCAAUGCCGCGUGAGUGAUGAAGGCCUUAGGGAUGUAAAGCUCUUUUACACGGGAUGAUAAUGACAGUACCGGGAGAAUAAGCACCGGCUAACUCCGUG